AGCUCCUCCCUCCCUAUAUAUAAUGCGUUCUAGAGAUGCUUCUGUGUUAUCUUCCUCCUCCUGCGGCCGCUCUGGAGUGCACAAUGUGCGGCUCAAAUUCAUCGUUUGUCGCCGCAGUUAGAUGAAUUUGACUGCCGGUAAACACAUCUAACGGCAAUCAAUGAUCGAAGGAGUUGAAGGAGAUCAAUUGUAAAAAAACAAGAAGGGUGUGUGUUCGGCAGUCAGAUCGAGGGACUUGAAGAAGAUCAAUGACAAAAAAUUAAUAUGAUAUGAUAGAGCAAAAAGGAUGAACGAAUUGACCAUUUUGUCGGGAAAACGGUUUUUUAACCGACAAAAACUGUUCCGUCGGGCCAACUUUUGUAAAAAAAGCCCUAUUUUCUGUUAGUGAUAGCACAUUACAUAAAGUACUCAUACAUCCACUUUGCACAGCCACUACGACAAUGUUUGAAAACAAAGAAGGCAUGGCUCUAUUUAUAAUAGAAAAGUCGGCUGCUAGAUUUACAGACCAAGUAAACAUAUAGUAAAAUAUAAAUAUCCCCUAUGUUAACUUUAAAACUAUCCAAAUGGGAUAAAUAAAUCAUGUUGAACACUAAUGGAAUUGCGCAUGGCUAAUGUAUGUAUUAGGGUUCGACACUUGGUAUACAAGUGUCAUCAUGAUAUACAUGAAAACAAAAGAUUUUUAAUA